UGGGGAAUAUUGCACAAUGGGCGCAAGCCUGAUGCACCCAUGCCGCGUGUGUGAAGAAGGCCUUCGGGUUGUAAAGCACUUUCAGCGGGGAGGAAGGCGGUGAGGUUAAUAACCUCACCUAUUUACGUUACCCGCAGAAGAAGCACCGGCUAACUCCGUGCCAGCAGCCGCGGUAAUACGGAGGGUGCACGCGUUACUCGGAAUUACUGGGCGUAAAGCGCACGCAGGCGGUCUGUCAAGUCGGAUGUGAAAUCCCCGGGCUCAACCUGGGAACUGCAUUCGAAACUGGCAGGCUAGAGUCUUGUAGAGGGGGGUAGAAUUCCAGGUGUAGCGGUGAAAUGCGUAGAGAUCUGGAGGAAUACCGGUGGCGAAGGCGGCCCCCUGGACAAAGACUGACGCUCAGGUGCGAAAGCGUGGGGAGCAAACAGG
rnacentral:rRNA from 1 species